UAUUCCUCAGUCCGACAUACUCCCUGCAUAUUCCUCAGUCCGACAUACUCCCUGCAUAUUCCUCAGUCCGACAUACUCCCUGCAUAUUCCUCAGUCCGACAUACUCCCUGCAUAUUCCUCAGUCCGACAUACUCCCUGCAUAUUCCUCAGUCCGACAAGUCCUCGUGAUUAUCCAGUUACUGUGAGUGGCAUUGGGGUUACCGUUAAACAUGCAUGUGAGGUUUGUGUGUGUGUGUGCACGUUUGUGCCUGCGUGUGUAUGUAGCAGUGUGUGUAUGUGCCUCUGUGAUUUGUGCGUGUGCACGUUUGUGCCUGCCUGUGUAUGUAGCAGUGUGUGUAUGUGCCUCUGUGAUUUGUGCGUGUGCACGUGUGUUUGGUAUAAAAACAGAGGCAGUAUCAUUUGAAGACGUGUGACAACGAGACAGGGACCACGUCUUCCUCCCAGUCCCUAUAGCUGCUGCUGGUCUCCGGGUCCUGGGCCUCCGACCUCUUCGGAGGAACCAUGACCUUCAACCCCAUAGGGACCAACACAGAUUGAACCUACAGGGAAGGGAAGAGGACAAACUGAUCUUCAGAAACGAGAUUAUGUUCUUUUGACGACUCCAGUGCUGUGAUCAACAGGAGGCACUGGGUGAAGCUUUAGUUCUGCGGUGUCUAACCCCCACAGAAGGGCAACGUGAACCUGGAAUUCCUGUCCCACAAGAUUCCAAGAGAAAUGCUUUAGGAAGGUCACCUACCAGUUUGAAAUCUUCCACAACAGUUAUUUCAUCAGGAUGGUGGAUCCAGCCAGUUACCCAGUGGAGGUGGAUCUGAAGGAGAUGGUCGACACGGAGAUCACGUCCACAACCUCUGUCCACAACACUGAGAUGUUUGUGGAGUCCUGCAAGACCACGCUCUCAGACAACCCGAAUGAUCCUGACCACUACAGCAUCAUCCAAAAUGGGUCAGGGACAAAAAACCCAAAAGAAAACAUUGGUUCCUUGUUGUAUACGUUCAUUAUAUACUUUACUGCAGCGCUCCUACCGGUUAAAACACUAUAUACAGGGGCCUCCCGGGUGGCGCAGUGGUUAAGGGCUGUGCCACCAGAGACUCUGGGUUCGCUCCCAGGCUCUGUCGU